CUGUUUAAAUGCAUGGGAACUAAUAUAAUAAAAAGGAACGUAAAAAAGCAUAAAUAAGGUGAAUUUUGCUGUGAGAGUUGCAACCUAACUUUGAAUUAGAGCUACCGUGAACAAAGCCGAACAGUAUGUAGACGUUCCCUUGGUAAUCGCCUUUACAAUUGAGAAUGGAAAUGGUGAAUGAUUCAAAGAUAGAACAACCCCGACCAAAGGCCAGAAAACAGUCGAAUUCUACAAAAUUCCAGUGGUUUUAACACUUUUCUCAUGAGGAUACCGGUUUUAACCUGACCAGAAUCGAUUCGACGACCUGUCGCAUGCAAGAAGAGCAAACGUUAACGAGCCCACCUAG
rnacentral:lncRNA from 1 species